rnacentral:rRNA from 1 species
UACGUAGAGGGCAAGCGUUGUCCGGAUUUAUUGGGCGUAAAGCGCGCGUAGGCGGCGCGGUAUGUCGUGCGUGAAAUCUCCCGGCUUAACUGGGAGGGGCCGUGCGAAACUGCCGGGCUUGAGGUCGGAAGGGGAAAGUGGAAUUCCGGGUGUAGUGGUGGAAUACGUAGAUAUCCGGAGGAACACCAGCGGCGAAGGCGGCUUUCUGGUCCGAUACUGACGCUGAGGUGCGAAAGCGUGGGGAGCGAUCCGG